rnacentral:rRNA from 1 species
UGAGGAAUAUUGGGCAAUGCCCGCAAGGGUGACCCAUCAACGCCGCGUGGAGGAUGAAUGUCGUAAGAUUGUAAACUCCUGUUAGAGGGGAAGAAUAGUACCGGUUGGACCGGUAUAUGACUGUACCCUCAGAGAAAGCCCCGGCUAACUACGUGCCAGCAGCCGCGGUAAUACGUAGGGGGCAAGCGUUGUCCGGAUUUACUGGGUGUAGAGGGCGCGCAGGCGGGAUAAAAAGUCAGUGGUGAAAUCCUACAGCUUAACUGUAGAACUGCCUUUGAUACUUUUAUUCUUGAGUUCGGGAGAGAGAGACGGAAUUCCAGGUGUAGUGGUGAAAUACGUAGAUAUCUGGAAGAACACCAGUUGCGAAGGCGGUCUCUUGGUCCGACACUGACGCUGAGGCGCGAAAGCGUGGGGAGCAAACA